GCUGUCCACGGGGGUAGCAGUGGGGGAUAUUGCACAAUGGAGGAAACUCUGAUGCAGCGACGCCGCGUGAGGGAAGACGGUCUUCGGAUUGUAAACCUCUGUCUUUGGGGAAGAAAAUGACGGUACCCAAAGAGGAAGCUCCGGCUAACUACGUGCCAGCAGCCGCGGUAAUACGUAGGGAGCGAGCGUUGUCCGGAAUUACUGGGUGUAAAGGGAGCGUAGGCGGGCGAGAAAGUUGAAUGUUAAAUCUACCGGCUUAACUGGU
rnacentral:rRNA from 1 species